AUGAGGGGACGACCCCAGAUGAGACCCCACCCGAGGGGACGGCCCCA
rnacentral:ncRNA from 1 species